CACAAUCUUCAUCAUCACACGAGACACAACAACAACAAUGAACAACUUCAUCAUCCUCAUCUGGACUCUGACGCUCUGCAUUCAGGAGAUCUGGGGACAAGUGACAGUGACUCAGAAUCCAGAAAUAAUAUCCAUCAAUCAAGGAGAAACUGU